CGAGUUAGGGUCCUCAUCGGGCCCGACCUCCCAACCCAUUGUUUAUGAUACCUAGUGUUGCUUCGGUAGGCCUGGUCUAUCUGUUAUAGACCUGCCGGGGGGCCGUAAGACGCCCGCCGGAGAGUGCCUACCGACAGCCUCAACUCCAAAAUUCUUUAACCAAACGUGUCUUUGUCUGAGUAACGUCUUUUAAAAUAAAGCAAAACUUUCAACAACGGAUCUCUUGGUUCUGGCAUCGA
rnacentral:misc_RNA from 1 species